UGAGUCAAUUCCAUUGUUUUUUAAGAAUUUAAAGUUAUGGGUGUGAUGAUCCUUUGUUAGGAACGUUUUGGCAAGACUGGAGACUGCUUAUCUGAGUCGGAAUCCCACUGCAAAAUCAUUUUGGAGCUUAUUCGAUCAGUUCAUGUUGAUACAAAUUUCUCUUGAUCGUAAUGCAUUUGGAACUUUUGGAAAACCUGCGGCUGGGAGCUGAUUGUUCUCGAUCAAGUCCAGUGCUGAACCCCCAAAUGGAUUGCAAGGAUCAAAGGAACGUUUUGGAAAACCUGGAGACUGCAAAUCUGAGACGAA